UUUUCCUAAGGAAUGAACAAUCAUAUUCACUUAUGAAAGCCUUGAGGGAUGCACAGUCCAGGUUCUAUUCGACCAUAAUCAACAACAGCCGUGAAAUCAAGCAAUCUGGAAGACUGAAGAGUACAAGAAGGGUAAAUAAACCAAUUUUCUUCACACAGAAAAACGCCCAUCUCCACCUGCAUCUGAUGCCUGCUUCAAGCUGUGCCACAUGAAUAGCAUCCUCCUCUUUAAUCACUCUCAUUCUGGAAAAGAAUUGACUCAAAUCAUUGUCUGUUUCACUUCAUUUUUCACUAUUACCAACUUCAAAGGCGAAUCCCAAAUGCAUCCAACGAGGAAAAUAUUAAGUACAAUAUUUUUGUUUUUAUUUCUGAAUUAAAAAGUUAGUUCAUUCUA